UGAGCAACCUGCCCUUGACUCUGGAAUAACAGUUGGAAACAGCUGCUAAUACCGGAUAUGACUUUGUGUGACAUCACACGGAGUGGAAAGCCCUGGCGGUCAAGGAUGGGCUCGCGGCCUAUCAGCUUGUUGGUGAGGUAACGGCUCACCAAGGCUUCGACGGGUAGCCGGCCUGAGAGGGCGACCGGCCACACUGGGACUGAGAUACCGGCCCAGACCUCCCGUAGGGAGG
rnacentral:rRNA from 1 species